GCCACCGUAGCUUAGCUGGCUAAAGCGAUGGUUUCGUAAACCAUAGACCGCGGGUUCAAAUCCCGCCGGUGGCU
rnacentral:tRNA from 1 species